rnacentral:tRNA from 1 species
GCAUGGGUAGCUCAGUCAGUUAAGCAUCUGACUUCAGCUCAGGUCAUGAUCUGACCGCUCGUGGGUUCAAACCCCAUGUUGGGCU